GGUCAGCUGACACAUCCCUGCCAAUCUCCAGCAGACCCUCCCUCCCAGACCCUCCUACUUCCUGGACAGCAUCCAUGUUGAAGGCAGCUUCAACAUGGAUGCUGUCCAGGAGGUGGGAGGGUCUGGGAGGGAGGGUCUGCCGGAGAUUGGCAGGGAUGUGUCAGCUG